UGGGGAAUUUUGGACAAUGGGCGAAAGCCUGAUCCAGCAAUGCCGCGUGUGUGAAGAAGGCCCUUCGGGUUGUAAAGCACUUUUGUCCGGAAAGAAAUCCUCUGGGUUAAUACCUCGGGGGGAUGACGGUACCGGAAGAAUAAGCACCGGCUAACUACGUGCCAGCAGCCGCGGUAAUACGCAGGGUGCAAGCGUUAAUCGGAAUUACUGGGCGUAAAGCGUGCGCAGGCGGUUUGCUAAGACCGAUGUGAAAUCCCCGGGCUCAACCUGGGAACUGCAUUGGUGACUGGCAGGCUAGAGUAUGGCAGAGGGGGGUAGAAUUCCACGUGUAGCAGUGAAAUGCGUAGAGAUGUGGAGGAAUACCGAUGGCGAAGGCAGCCCCCUGGGCCAAUACUGACGCUCAUGCACGAAAGCGUGGGGAGCAAACAGGAUUAGAUACCCUGGUAGUCCACGCCCUAAACGAUGUCAACUAGUUGUUGGGGAUUCAUUUCCUUAGUAACGUAGCUAACGCGUGAAGUUGACCGCCUGGGGAGUACGGUCGCAAGAUUAAAACUCAGAGG
rnacentral:rRNA from 1 species